rnacentral:rRNA from 1 species
UACAGAGGGUGCGAGCGUUAAUCGGAUUUACUGGGCGUAAAGCGUGCGCAGGCGGUUUUGUAAGUCUGUCGUGAAAUCCCCGGGCUCAACCUGGGAACUGCAUUUGUGACUGCAUUGCUGGAGUGCGGCAGAGGGGGGAUGGAAUUCCGCGUGUAGCAGUGAAAUGCGUAGAUAUGCGGAGGAACACCGAUGGCGAAGGCAAUCCCCCUGGGCCUGCACUGACGCUCAUGCACGAAAGCGUGGGGAGCAAACAGG